AGAAUCAACGCUGGCGGCGUGCCUAACACAUGCAAGUCGAACGAGAAAGGGGAGCAAUCCCUGAGUAAAGUGGCGACCGGGUGAGUAACACGUGACUAACCUACCUUCGAGUGGGGGGAUAACCUCGGGAAACCGAGGCUAAUACCGCAUAACAUCGUGAGAUCAAAGCAGUAAUGCGCUGGAAGAGGGGGUCGCGGCUGAUUAGCUAGUUGGCGGGGUAAUGGCCCACCAAGGCGAAGAUCGGUAGCCGGCCUGAGAGGGCGCACGGCCACACUGGAACUGAAACACGGUCCAGACUCCUACGGGAGGCAGCAGUGGGGAAUUUGCGCAAUGGGGGAAACCCUGACGCAGCAACGCCGCGUGGAGGAUGAAGUCCCUUGGGACGUAAACUCCUUUCGACCAAGACGAUAAUGACGGUACUGGUGGAAGAAGCACCGGCUAACUCUGUCGCCAGCAGCCGC
rnacentral:rRNA from 1 species